rnacentral:rRNA from 1 species
GUGGAUUAGAUACCCUAGUAGUCCACGCCCUAAAUUAUGAUAAUUAAGUGUUGCAUUUUUUGCAGUGCUGUAGCUAACGCGUUAAAUUAUCCACCUGAGGACUACGGUCGCAAGAUUAAAACUCAAAGGAAUAGACGGGGACCCACACAAGCAGUGGAUCAUGUGGUUUAAUUCGACAAUAAACGGGGAAUCUUACCCAGACUUGACAUCCUGAGAAUCUUUUGGAAACAAGAGAGUGCUCGCAAGAGAGCUCAGUGACAGGUGCUGCACGGCUGUCGACAGCU